rnacentral:rRNA from 1 species
UACGUAGGUGGCAAGCGUUGUCCGGAUUUACUGGGCGUAAAGCGCGUGUAGGCGGCUUUGCAAGUCGGGUGUGAAAGCCCUCGGCUCAACCGAGGAAGUGCGCCCGAAACUGCAGAGCUUGAGUGCCGGAGAGGAUGGCGGAAUUCCCCAAGUAGAGGUGAAAUUCGUAGAUAUGGGGAGGAACACCGGUGGCGAAGGCGGCCAUCUGGACGGUCACUGACGCUGAGACGCGAAAGCGUGGGGAGCAAACAGG